GACGAACGCUGGCGGCGUGCUUAACACAUGCAAGUCGAACGGAAAGGCCCUGCUUUUGUGGGGUGCUCGAGUGGCGAACGGGUGAGUAACACGUGAGUAACCUGCCCUUGACUUUGGGAUAACUUCAGGAAACUGGGGCUAAUACCGGAUAGGAGCUCCUGCUGCAUGGUGGGGGUUGGAAAGUUUCGGCGGUUGGGGAUGGACGCGCGGCUUAUCAGCUUGUUGGUGGGGUAGUGGCUUACCAAGGCUUUGACGGGUAGCCGGCCUGAGAGGGUGACCGGGCACAUUGGGACUGAGAUACGGCCCAGACUCCUACGGGAGGCAGCAGUGGGGAAUAUUGCACAAUGGGCGGAAGCCUGAUGCAGCAACGCCGCGUGCGGGAUGACGGCCUUCGGGUUGUAAACCGCUUUCGCCUGUGACGAAGCGUGAGUGACGGUAAUGGGUAAAGAAGCACCGGCUAACUACGUG
rnacentral:rRNA from 1 species